ACGUGCUACGGGACGGGAGUCAGAGCCCAGGGCUGUCCCGGGGACCACCGCGCUGUCCCGGAGGGCGCGCCAUACCCACUCCAUUCCUGACGCCAUCCCCCACCCCUGGCCCCAUUCCCUGGCAUCCCUGGUCUCACCUCUGACCCCAUCCCCCUCAUCUCCGCUCCAGCCCUGAUCCAUCUCCACCUCCUCCAGCCAAGGCACCAGCACCUGCCAAAAUCUCACCUUUGUUUUGGUCCAAAAACUCUUCAGUGAAGAUGGGGACAUCGAAGGUGGAGAAGCCAUCACAGUCCACACCCUGGGACAUAGCAAUGAGUUUAGAGGGGACCCGCUUCUCUGGAACCUGGGAGGGUCUCCUGGGCCUCCUUGGCAGUGCAGACUGCUUUUAUUUAUUUCUGUGUGUGUCUGCCAUAUGCGUGCAGUACCCACAGUGGCCAGACAAGGGCAGAAGACACCCGGAGCUGACGGUGAUCGGCCAUGCGGGUGCUGGGGGCGUAGCACCAGGCUUCUGCAGAGCCGCCCAGCCUCUCAGGGCUGAAGCCAGGGCUCCACAUACCACGCAGGUGCUCUAUGGCUGGUGUCAAACCUGCCAUGAUCCUCCUACCAUAGGCUCCCGAGUGAGCCACCAUGCGCACCUCAGCAACAGUCAGCCGCAGCAAGGCUGGGGCCCAGUAUGGAGCACUGGCCCAGCACAAAGCUCUGGGAUGCACCGCCACGCCUGUCACCCCCCAACCGGAAAAAUCGAGGCAGACAGAUUGGGAAUUCAAGGCCAUCCUCAGCCACACAGAAGCUAGCCUGGGCUACAUGAGGCUCUCUCUCAAGUGAAAGAAACCUUCAACUGAC